rnacentral:rRNA from 1 species
GCGAGUGAACAGGGAUUAGCCCAGCACCGAAGCCUGUGGUUAUUUGACUGCAAGGCAAUGUGGUGUUUAGGUUUGUUCUUGGCAUUACUGCUCUGCCCCAAGUCCAGCAAUGAGUACGGCAUACCGUUCUGGCCCAUAGAGGGUGAAAGGCCCGUGGGGGUAGAGACCAAGCAUGACAGUUUUGUCCAGAGCUUACCUUGGAGUCGGGUUGUUUGAGAAUGCAGCCCAAAGUGGGUGGUAAACUCCAUCCAAGGCUAAAUACUUGCACGAGUCCGAUAGUAAACAAGUACCGUGAGGGAAAGUUGAAAAGUACUUUGAAGAGAGAGUAAACAGUGCGUGAAACCGCUCAGAGGUAAACGGGUGGAGUUGAACUGCGAUCCUUGGGAAUUCAGCUGAUGAGCAUGAUUUGUGCUUGGGCAUAUUGACCGCCCUUCAGUGUCUGCUUAGCUGCGGGUGCCUGCCUCUGGUGGGUAUGUGUGGUGCGCUUAUCAUGUGCCGCACGCAUUGGAGGGUGUAUGAGUCUGCUUGUCGGUGCACUUUCUCAGGGUGUUCACCACGACCGGCACUGCUGUCUGUCUGCUUUGGUCAAACUGAUCAGGUCUGAUUAACGUUGGGCUUGGUUGGGUUGGCAGGUGACUCACUGGUCCAUUCUGUGGGCUAUGAGUGUUACUAGCCGGCUUUAGUGGAUCUGUACGGUGUGUCGGAGACGGCGGCUUUGCAUAUGCGCUCUGUCCUUCAGGCGUGGUUGAGUCUGGUCGACUUGUUGCUAGUUUCGGCUGGUCAGUUGAUGGCUUGAUCAUGUUCAGUUGGCAGUGGUGUGUGUGUCUUAGUUUGGGCCAAUAGUCUGUGGUGUUGUGGUAGACUAUCCACCUGACCCGUCUUGAAACACGGACCAAGGAGUUUAACAUGUGCGCGAGUCAUUGGGCUUUACGAAACCCAAAGGCGCAGUGAAGGUAAAGGUUUGGCUUGUCCAGGCUGAGGUGAGAUCCUGUUGUUUUGCUCAUUCAUUCCAAGCUGCGAGCAGCAGGCGCAUCACCGGCCCGUCCCAUGACGUAGACAUGUGGCCUUGUGCCAUGUGCACCGUCGGGGCGGAGCAAGAGCGUACAUGUUGAGACCCGAAAGAUGGUGAACUAUGCUUGCGAAGGUUGAAGCCAGAGGAAACUCUGGUGGAGGACCGUAGCGAUUCUGACGUGCAAAUCGAUCGUAUAACGUGAGUAUA